AAGAGUUAUUUUUCUUAAAAAAAAAACCUUGAUUCUCAUCAAGAGAUUUUCCUAUUUAAUUUUCUUUAAUAAAAACUUUAAUGCAUUUAAGCAUAUUUAAACCCUUUCUUAAAAUAAAUAAAAACAAACAAAUUUUCUCUUUGCCAUUUGGCUUUUAUCUUUUAAAACCUUUUCAAAAACAAUUAAAAAACAUCAAACAAAUCACUCAGCUUUUUACCCCGAAGUACGUGGUUUUGCUCCCUCAUGGGUACGUAGGCAUAAGACCUAGUCUUGCCAAGUCAAAAAAAUAAUAAAAAAUAUUUUCUUUUUUCUUCAUUACAUUAAUCCUUUUUACAAGCAAAAUAAUAAAUAAAUUAUAGCCAAAAAUAAAUAAAAGCAAG
rnacentral:lncRNA from 1 species